AAGCUGGAGGGGGUCCGAGAGACACACACGACGGGCACAGGAAGUUUUCCUUCAGUCACAGCCUCAAAGUGCUCGGUGCCGCAACCCACCACGGAGCUCGCCAGACAGUUGCGGUCACGGCUGGCGCUGAGCAAGGCAGAAAUACAGCAGCAGGCCCGUCGGUUUAUCAAGGUCAGAUCCAGCAGUGGGGAGCUGAAGUUGGGCAGCCCAGGCUGCAGAGAACGUGGUGCUGCCUUCUGUGUGAGGUUACCUGCAGACGGCCCCCCGGCACCGGGCCCUUAAGCUGAGGACAAACUCGUUACUGCCCAGCCCCCAAAACCCCACCGCGCCCCGGUUUGACCACGUCUACUUGGCCAAAAGCCUGGGUCGUGUAAGUCUUGAAACCCGUCCUAAGGACAUCAGGCAACGUGACGCUGCGGGUUUGUUGCCUUAGAAAUGUCGCAUCUGUAGCUAGAUUCCUCUGAGGGCAAGUUCUGGACCUUGCGUUCGUACACGUUAGAAUAAAUGUUAGCUUUCCGUUUACGUACGGCCUUUCAUAACCAAAAGGGAUUAACCACUGCAUUUAGGCAGCCAGGCUCAUCUUUCUGUACGCAUCGUUGGGAGCCUAUGGGUAAAAUUUCACGUGCUAAUCUAUUUUUAAUUUUUUAUUAUUUUACUUGAAAUUGCCAGCACUAGUAAUUCUCCAGCAUGAUGUCACACGCAAAGCGAAAGCAUUAACUGGCUGCUUUAUUUAAGGAAGUUAUUGGAAUGUCUUAAGGGAUCUCCAUAGCAACCCUGCUGUGCCAGUAAAUAGGAGUUCGCCAGAACAACACCGACUGCUCCCAGCACACACCAACGAGCCGUGACAAAAAGGCAGGCAAUAUUGAGAAAGUAACGUCCCACAGGAAGCCCAGGGCCCGAUGUGAAUUAGCGGGCAGCUGGGACAGUCGAUGUCUGCCUCGCGUGCAGGCUGCCCCGAGCCUCAGACUGCAGGGAUCCCUGGCACGGCGCCUCUGAAGAUGUUGCGCGGGAAGUUGCGAUACGGAGAAGAAGACCGGGCCUGGGGCCGGCAGUUUAGGGCUGCGAUGAUUCCCAUCGCUUCCCACCCUACCGGGUAAACGCCACAGCCCCAGCGAGAAGCAGGAAAACCAUCGGUGCCCGAGCGCACAGCUCACGGCCCGCAGCCACGCACCCGCCGCCCCGCAGCAGCCGCCUCUCCCUGCCCUGCGCUCCCCGGCCGGCCCCUGCCAGCGCCGCACAGCCUCGCGGACUCGCUCCGGGUCCUACAAGAGGCAGGCGCUCCGGGGCCGUGUUCCCCCAGAAGCGAGCCCUGAGGACCUCGCCCAUGCUCAGUAACGCACGAGCACCCAGGAGGGCCGCGUGGCCCGCUCCCCGUACCGCACACCGUUUGCCAAGGCGCCCAUACCGAAGCGUGCACCUGCUCCGUCCUGCUGCGCGAAGCCCCGCGCGCGAGGAGGGCGAGCUCUGACCCAGAGCCUCUUGCUGCGCUUCUGUUCCGAGCAGCGCUACGCGAUGGAAGAGCCGCGCCUCCGCCUCACCAGCUCUGGAGAUCUCCUGCCCUUCCGUCGGCGAUACGGCUCAGCUGCUGCAGAGCUCCUCAGGAAAACACGCUCUUGUUUCUCGAGCUUUCACAGGCUUCGCAGGACACUGAGCCGUAACGCGCUCGUGAUGCCAUCUCUUCAUGGGCUGCUGGACAGAAAUGUCUCCCGGAACGUCCAAUUACACGCACUGCUCAGAAAUAACUCCUGAUGGCCACAAACCACAUCAGAAAUGGCAAGGCGAGUGGCAGCUCUUCAGCCAUUACAUCGUAUCUGUUACCCCAGCAGUACUUUCAGAAUUUCGGAGAUGCUGCUUUGCAACUCCUAAUUUAAAAUUUAUGCUGUUUUCCUUUGCGGCAUGCUUUGAAAUGGAUAGGUUAGUUAAUGCGCUCUUUGUAGGAGAUCCGCUAAGAGUUAGUCAUUAUUUGAAGAGCCUGGAAGUUGUAAGAGGAUUACAACUGAAGGGUGUAAUUUCAGAACAGUUUUCCAAAGGCAAGGAAUAGUUCUUAAAUUAUAUUUAUUUGAGAAAUCAGAAAGAAUAGCUCUCAAAUAAAAAGAUGGAACACCUCAAUACAAGAUGGCAAUUUUUGCUUUGUCUAGGGAUCAUUUUGUUUCUCAAUAUAUUGCAAAUGUCUGAGCCGUCAGCUUUCACUCCCGCUUUUCUCUUUCUGUCACAUUCUGUAGGAAAAGUCUGAAGACUGCCAUGCAAUGGCUUCCGUCUGUCUGCCAGCCAGUCGUCACUUCUCUCUUUCUCCACUAAGGCUUGGACAAUCGAAUCCACAGCCUACAAUCACAGACUUUUUCUGAGAAGUUUACAAGAUUUACUACUGUAGGAUAAAAGAGUGGUAAAUACGGAUCUGGUUGUUCACAUUGUGGGGGAAAGCUUCAUUCCACCAGAUUUCUCAAUUUCUUUACCUGAGAGACCAAAGAAGGUGCAGCAAGGUGGGUUUUUUUUUUUAUUAUUAUUAUUUUUGCUGCGUUAACAGUGUAGGAAGUAGUUUCCCCUUCUCAAGGGUAAGUCGAGCAGGAGAGAAACAAAAGGCCUGGUAAGGUUUGUUUCAGUGCUAUUCAGAGCACAGGUGAAUUAGUGCUACUCAAAGCUCUGUAUAGGGAUACAGGCUACUUAAAAUCAGGUCCUCUUGCUGACUCCUGCUUUCUAGGAACCCAGCCAGCCAUAGGCACGCAUAUAUGUCCUAACAAACACUGUGAAACCCCAAGAAAAUUACCAUCUAGUCUUCAUCCUCACAAUGAGAUCCGCCUGUUCUUGAGACCCAUCCAUUGCACAGCCAAGAAAAUCAGGACGUUAGUGUUGUUUUUUAAAGGAACAAGCAGCAGACGUGUAACGCCACCCAGAAUUAUGGAGGUUUUUCUCUAUUCACAGCCAAACAGCAGGCGCAGCACUGACUGCUGCCAGGAAUUGGGUGCCGUGCUCACUGCUCAGCCAGAAGGGCCACUGGCUUCUCGUUGGGGCUCUGCCUGAAGCGGGUGCCCAGGUCCAAAUCCUAAGCCCUGUUUCUAACUAAAUGAUAAUAUUGAAAUUGUCAGGGAGAAAGUUACCUUGAACAGAAAACGGGGUGAGGUUUCUUAUGACUUGAACCAGGCAGCUCUGCUCAGGUCUAUGUUCAUUGGAACUUUGCCCUCUGCUUUGGUUUGGGAGAGGAUAUUCUUCUUCUAAAUACCCAGCCUGGUAUUUGGAGACAGCUGGGCCAUGCUGGCAUCAUUUGAACUAUAAUCGCUCAUCACGUCCCAGUUUCAAAAACUGCAUUUUUGCUUCUGAUCUUAAAUCGUAGCUCAGGACAUCUGAAUGAUGAAACGGAG